UACGUAGGUCCCGAGCGUUGUCCGGAUUUAUUGGGCGUAAAGCGAGCGCAGGUGGUUUAUUAAGUCUGGUGUAAAAGGCAGUGGCUCAACCAUUGUAUGCAUUGGAAACUGGUAGACUUGAGUGCAGGAGAGGAGAGUGGAAUUCCAUGUGUAGCGGUGAAAUGCGUAGAUAUAUGAAGGAACACCGGUGGCGAAAGCGGCUCUCUGGCCUGUAACUGACACUGAGGCUCGAAAGCGUGGGGAGCAAACAGG
rnacentral:rRNA from 1 species